ensembl:lncRNA
CCUCUGACACACUUUUGUGUGGAGUGUUUCUAUGUGGACUUCUUCACUUAUCUAUUCAACCACCUCACUCACUUCCCUUUUUUUGAUUACUUUUCCUUUCAUAUUCCUCUAUCAUUCAGUAACUCAUAAACUCGUUCAUUUUUUCUCAUUCACUCACUUUUUCUCUCUCUCCUUCUUCUUUGUCGCCUUCCUCCUCCUCUGGAACUUCCCUCUUUACCUUCCUGCUUCUCCCUCCUCCCUGUCUGAGCUUCUCUCGUUCUUUUCGAGUCUUGAAAUCUUCUGUCCCUAUCCACCAUCACCACUGGCUCUCGUCCUCUCCUCCACUCUCUCGUCAAUCUAUCACGGCUACUAGCUUUUACCGUCAUGGCUUUAUUUACCGUCACUGGGCCUGCAGGGACGAGGGAAACAAAACCAAAACAACAGCUGGGGAGAGACAAGCCUCGUGUAAUUGUGGCAUAGCUGUCAGGGGCCUAUGGGGAGCCGAAAGGCCGUCGAGAACAGGAAGUACUCUUUCUCUUCCUCUAAUCGCCAGAGUCCCUGCAAUGUGUGGUCACAUGCACUUCUUUUUUUAUGUACUUAAGUAAACAGCAUUGUUCCCAGAAGCAAGGUGUUUCUUUUUCUCUUGAAAUGUUUUUGGCAACGUGUUAUAGUAUAAAAACAUUUAGACUAAAAUAAAAACAAUCAAUUACUACUACUACUACUACUACUACUACUACUAAUACUACUACUACUACUAUGCUAUUACUACUACUAGUAAUAAUAAUAAUGAUAAUAAUGUUGCACUAACUAACAUUGUUCCGUGCAGUAGGUAACAUGAGGAACCCAUUGUCAGAUCCUUAAACUACGCAAAAAAAUUGUAUUUAGUGAUGUUAAUGGCAGCAUUUAGUUACUGUAAUUGAAGGAGGCCACAAAGUGAAGUGUUGUCAUUUUAGUUUUGUUAUGGUCGUCAAUGUUUAAUUGGCGCACUCUUUCAGCCAGCAAAUUAGCCAAGCUACAACAUUUACCAGACGCCACCCCUCUACAGUAUCAAUGGCGCCCUGUGCCAGCACGGAGUGGAGAAACAAAAAUGAAUCAGAGUGGCUGUCCUGAACCUUUGACCCGUCUCUCUGGAGGGAAACAGACCGCUAGGCCCAGUCACUCGUCAUCAUAAUGAGGGAGAGAAGAGCGUAGUCUGUCACACCACCCUGGCACCCUUUGGCCAGAAGACACACAACGGAAUGGGACAAAUGGGACACUGGCCAGAGGCAGUGGCACAGGCAGUGGUUUAUGGGCGGUAGCACUGAGAUCACACUUCUUGUGUCACACAAUCAUAACCUAUAGGCAGAGCCAGUUGGCAGUUUUUGCCUUGCUUCUCCUAGUGCAGGGCCUCCCAGGGGUUCCUCUGCCCCUGGUCCCUUAUUGCUCUGCAUGUUUUUCAUCUCUCCCUGCUCUGCUCUGCAUACAUGAUUGAACCUGUCAGUGGCACUCUUGAUUAGCUGAAUGCACAUAAUUUAGCUGAUUAAGAGAUCUUAUAAUUACUACUAUCAGGCAUCCUUAGAGUAGGGAGAGGUAUUAUGCAAAAUAUGCAAGGCGGGGGCUCCAAGAACAGGAAUGAAAUGCCUUUUCAGACAUACACUGCAGACAAUUCCGGAAAAUUCACAGCGUUGAUGACAUCUCUCACCUUCAUGCUGCCUUCACUCAAAUCUUGCUGAAACAGAUGAUACAUACAUGCAGUCAGUUUUAGCUUAAACUUAAACGAUACUUAAGCAACAGAUAGAACAACCAACUAACCACCUAGUGAUAACUAGCUAAACUGAACAGUAACACUUUCUCACAAAUUUAAAGGUAGUUCAAUGCAGUUUCAGAGAAACAUAGUUGUUCAUGUUCAUUAGCUCGCUAGCUAGCGAGCAAGUUGUUCAUAUUAGGCU